GUGAGUUCUCUUGAAGUAGCCCAUUAGCAAUGUCACACUGAGUGCUCCUUCCAGGGUGCAAGGUCCAGCCUUUGAGUCCUGCCCAUCGCCCCACUUUGUGAGCAUACAGCAGGGAGAGUGAGCUCUCUGUCUUGUAGGUACUGUCCAGGGCAGGUAACCUUCUUUUACAUAUGGUUGGUCACACAAAUAUAUGGCUUUUAUGGCUAAAUGAGGAUGCCUGAGCAGUUUGCUCCAUUCUGAGGUAACCUGCAAUUUUAUACACAGAGGCUUCAAAUCUAAAUUUACAUGUGUUUGAACAUUAAUAUAAGAUGAAUUUUUAUCAAAAAUGUAUUUAAACUUUGACCAGAUAUACUCGGUGUUAUCACAUUAAUGUUCUCUAUUUGUACAAGUUGAGCUAAGACCCCCUCCUAGUGGUGCAGCGGGCUGCUAAAAACUCUCCUCUUCUGCCCAGGGGUGAGGAAGAGAGAAUAUCCCUGGAUGUGGUUGAUUUCCACGGCAAACCCCAGAGGCAUCCACACAUCCAUCGUCCUUGCCAGCCUCCUUCCCUCUGCUGUUGUGUGUGUCCCUUCCAGGGUGGGCCUGUGCGCACACCCGAGCCUACCCGUUCCACAGUGAGACAGAUGUGACCCCUCCCAGCCUGCGGAGGCAGGCAUUCUAGUGGCAGCCAUAGCAUGGGGGAAGGGUCUUUGGGAGUUAGGAGAGACACUUGCCUUUGACUGCAGGACUCUGAUAAGUCAUGUGACUUCUCUAUGAAACAGGGCGAUUUACUCUUCUAGCUUUGAACACUAUCCUAAUGCAGCUGCGUAGGAAAGGAAGUGUGUGUUCAGAAGAGCAACAGCCCAGGACACGGAGGGACAUGGGAAAGAGAUACUUUGUAAUUUUGCCAAAGAUGGUGUCUUUAAGAUGCUGGCCAUGCAGCUACUUUAGAAUAUGGUGGCCAGCAGAUAUCCAGAUCCCUGGAGCCUGGGGUGGGCUCUAUCCCAGGCAACUGAUGAGAUUCUGUCACUUUGAGAGGUGGGUAAGCAGAGGUCCCAGAAGAUGGCUUGUCUCGGUUGAAUGUCAGUGUCAGGCAGAGCCGCUCCUCGCCCCACUAUGCUGAAGGGUUUGGAAGUGGUAUGCAGGGAACCCAAGAGGGGAGACUAGUGUGAAGACUAGCUGGAGGGGAAUGGCAGUGAACACUUUGCUUGUCCUAUCACUCAGGAAAGUGACAGUGAAGGCUUGGUAGGUAGCAGACAGAGACAGUGAGAGCAAACAUACAGGGAAGGACUGAUGGCAUGCUGACCGAUGUGACCAGCUGAAAUCUGAACUAGCCACUGACAGCACUCAAGAGGCGGAUCCUAUCACUGAGUGAUCCACGGAGACAUUUUCCUCCUAUCUGUCAGGUUACUUUCCUCUGCCUGGUGAUGGCACUGAGCCAAGCAGUCUUCAGACAUCGAAGAACAGAGCCAGGGCGCAGCGUGAGGCCCAGUGCAGUGCCUAGCAUCACUAGGGUUCAGUCAGACCGAAGGGUCCACUUGGGACUCCUGGGCUCUCUGCAGCACAGGGUACAUUCUGUGUUUCCAUGACCAGAGCACAAACUGUCUGCUACGUGAGGAAAUUGUCCUUCAUGCUAAUGCCUGAACUAGGUUUUCAGUGCGCUUAAGUCAGACUGGGUCUGGGGCUACCACCCCUGCUCAGUAUAGGCAGAACUGUUCUGUAGCACAAUGCAUGUCUCUGAAUAUUGUUUCGGUUUCUUCUCCGAGCACAAAACGUAUGUUCAGGGUGUCGUGAUCCCAGACUGGAACUUUUAGUUGUUGCAUGUUAAAACUCACCAGUUGGGAAACAGUUGAAUCAAAUCUGGUUUUUUUUUCCAGUGAGAGGAACGUAGGGAUGGGCAAGACUUAAUGUGUGUUGGGAGCAGGUGGACAGGUGCAGUGAAGAGUUAGGUCUCCAUCCAUCCGAGUUGUAAACAAAGCACAUAGCCCACCCACACUUACCUUCUGGGACACAGGACGACUUGUGUCCUUGGCUGUCUCUAGAGAAUUGGUUGCUUAGAGGAUGCUGGUAAUGGCUCUGUGACUUUCAUGAUGCCCCCUGCCAAGCCAGAGGCACAGCAAGUGUCCUGCACACCUGGUGGAAUUCCUCCCCUUAAAAAUAAAAUCAGCCGCUUGCCAGGGGAGCUCGCCUUCAAGAGUACUGGCUCAAGGGGCUGUGACAACAGAGUGUGGGCCAUACCUGCUCUCUCCUCCACUGGUGCUCUGGUGUCAGUGAAACUCAGGUGGGGGCUCUUGUCUCUGGAACAAACCUUGAGGGAGAUGCCAUGCAUGGCUUCUUGCAUCCUCUCCAGAGAUGCAUAAAAUGUAUUUACAUUAGAAACACUCCUCCUUCAUACAAACCAAGUCACUUUGGUUUGAUGGUAGCUAGCGAGAUGUGAGAAGCUGAGGUCUUUUAGGUUUCGUACAGAGUAGGUUUUGUACAGAGUAGCUGUAAAACUUGCUGGGACGCUGGCAGCCUGUGGUCCACGGCCAUGACCUGGAGCAUUUCCUGUUAGAAACCCCAUUCACCACACUGCAGGCUGAGAGGUUCCGAGCAGUCAAAGGUGUGUCCCAAGCUACAUAGGAAUUCACGUCCAGUUUGAUUAGGACUGUGUUCAAGUCGUCUGGUAUUGGGGGAAAGCUGACAGUGUGCGCUUCAUAAACAACCUUUCCCUGGGCUUUCCUUUUUGUAUCUCAAGGUUCUACCUUAACCAGAACCUUUUGAACUGGCAGAGACCAACGCUCUAUACACAUGCCAGCUGUCUAAAAGGCACUAAAAUAAAUAUUCAGUGCUGGGCAAAUCCGAACCCAGCUUUCAGACCAGUGCUUAUUUGUGUACAAGUGAGAUUUCUCCAGAGAAGCAAAUCAGAAGGAACAAAAGCAAGGGACUUUGUUGUUUGUUUCUGUUUUUUAUUUUUAUUUUUAGACAGUGAGUUUUUCCUGUGUGAUGUGUGUGCUUUCUUUGAGUCUGUAUUUCCUUUCAGAGAGCUCUCUUGUAAAUGACAAACUGUGAAAUGGGUUGCCAAAAACUGUGUCCUUUGUUAGAUGCUUCAGAGGGAACUGUGUAAAUUCUCUCUGCACCUUGUCCCAUCUGCUUCCUCCUCCCUCCCAUGAGAGCAAGGACCACAUCCAAGGAUGUAAUUACCAUACGCUUGCUAUUAAAGAGCCUUCCAGCCCUGG
rnacentral:lncRNA from 1 species